UACGAAGGGGGCUAGCGUUGCUCGGAAUUACUGGGCGUAAAGGGCGCGUAGGCGGCACUGUUAGUCAGGCGUGAAAGUCCUGGGCUCAACCUGGGAACUGCGCUUGAUACGGCAGAGCUAGAGGAUGGAAGAGGCUCGCGGAAUUCCCAGUGUAGAGGUGAAAUUCGUAGAUAUUCGCAAGAACACCAGUGGCGAAGGCGGCUCCCUGGCCCGAUACUGACGCUGAGGCACGAAAGCGUGGGGAGCAAACAGG
rnacentral:rRNA from 1 species